AUUGAACGCUGGCGGCAGGCCUAACACAUGCAAGUCGAACGGUAACAGGAAGAAGCUUGCUUCUUUGCUGACGAGUGGCGGACGGGUGAGUAAUGUCUGGGAAACUGCCUGAUGGAGGGGGAUAACUACUGGAAACGGUAGCUAAUACCGCAUAACGUCGCAAGACCAAAGAGGGGGACCUUCGGGCCUCUUGCCAUCGGAUGUGCCCAGAUGGGAUUAGCUAGUAGGUGGGGUAACGGCUCACCUAGGCGACGAUCCCUAGCUGGUCUGAGAGGAUGACCAGCCACACUGGAACUGAGACACGGUCCAGACUCCUACGGGAGGCAGCAGUGGGGAAUAUUGCACAAGGGGCGCAAGCCUGAUGCAGCCAUGCCGCGUGUAUGAAGAAGGCCGUCGGGUUGGAAAGUACUUUCAGCGGGGAGGAAGGGAGUAAAGUUAAUACCUUUGCUCAUUGACGUUACCCGCAGAAGAAGCACCGGCUAACUCCG
rnacentral:rRNA from 1 species